GACGUAGGUGGCGAACGUUAUCCGGAAUCAUUGGGCGUAAAGGGUGCGUAGGUGGCGUCGUAAGUCAGGUGUGAAAUUUCGGAGCUUAACUCCGAAACUGCAUUUGAUACUGCGGUGCUUGAGGACUGGAGAGGAGACUGGAAUUUACGGUGUAGCAGUGAAAUGCGUAGAUAUCGGGAGGAACACCAGUGGCGAAGGCGGCGAUCUGGGAAGAUACUGACGCUGAGGUGCGAAAGCGUGGGGAGCAACAGG
rnacentral:rRNA from 1 species